AAAUUGAAGAGUUUGAUCAUGGCUCAGAUUGAACGCUGGCGGCAGGCCUAACACAUGCAAGUCGAACGGUAACAGGAAGCAGCUUGCUGCUUCGCUGACGAGUGGCGGACGGGUGAGUAAUGUCUGGGAAACUGCCUGAUGGAGGGGGAUAACUACUGGAAACGGUAGCUAAUACCGCAUAACGUCGCAAGACCAAAGAGGGGGACCUUCGGGCCUCUUGCCAUCGGAUGUGCCCAGAUGGGAUUAGCUUGUUGGUGGGGUAACGGCUCACCAAGGCGACGAUCCCUAGCUGGUCUGAGAGGAUGACCAGCCACACUGGAACUGAGACACGGUCCAGACUCCUACGGGAGGCAGCAGUGGGGAAUAUUGCACAAUGGGCGCAAGCCUGAUGCAGCCAUGCCGCGUGUAUGAAGAAGGCCUUCGGGUUGUAAAGUACUUUCAGCGGGGAGGAAGGGAGUAAAGUUAAUACCUUUGCUCAUUGACGUUACCCGCAGAAGAAGCACCGGCUAACUCCGUGCCAGCAGCCGCGGUAAUACGGAGGGUGCAAGCGUUAAUCGGAAUUACUGGGCGUAAAGCGCACGCAGGCGGUUUGUUAAGUCAGAUGUGAAAUCCCCGGGCUCAACCUGGGAACUGCAUCUGAUACUGGCAAGCUUGAGUCUCGUAGAGGGGGGUAGAAUUCCAGGUGUAGCGGUGAAAUGCGUAGAGAUCUGGAGGAAUACCGGUGGCGAAGGCGGCCCCCUGGACGAAGACUGACGCUCAGGUGCGAAAGCGUGGGGAGCAAACAGGAUUAGAUACCCUGGUAGUCCACGCCGUAAACGAUGUCGACUUGGAGGUUGUGCCCUUGAGGCGUGGCUUCCGGAGCUAACGCGUUAAGUCGACCGCCUGGGGAGUACGGCCGCAAGGUUAAAACUCAAAUGAAUUGACGGGGGCCCGCACAAGCGGUGGAGCAUGUGGUUUAAUUCGAUGCAACGCGAAGAACCUUACCUGGUCUUGACAUCCACAGAACUUUCCAGAGAUGGAUUGGUGCCUUCGGGAACUGUGAGACAGGUGCUGCAUGGCUGUCGUCAGCUCGUGUUGUGAAAUGUUGGGUUAAGUCCCGCAACGAGCGCAACCCUUAUCCUUUGUUGCCAGCGGUCCGGCCGGGAACUCAAAGGAGACUGCCAGUGAUAAACUGGAGGAAGGUGGGG
rnacentral:rRNA from 1 species